GGGGGGACAGGGUGACAGGUGGUGCAUGGUUGUCGUCAGCUCGUGUCGUGAGAUGUUGGGUUAAGUCCCGCAACGAGCGCAACCCUCGACCUUAGUUGCCAGCAUUCAGUUGGGCACUCUAAGGUGACUGCCGGCUAAAAGUCGGAGGAAGGUGGGGAUGACGUCAAAUCAUCAUGCCCCUUAUGACCUGGGCUACACACGUGCUACAAUGGGCGGUACAAAGGGUCGCGAACCCGCGAGGGGGAGCCAAUCCCAAAAAGCCGCUCUCAGUUCGGAUUGCAGGCUGCAACUCGCCUGCAUGAAGCCGGAAUCGCUAGUAAUCGCGGAUCCAGCAUGCCGCGGUGAAUACGUUCCCGGGCCUU
rnacentral:rRNA from 1 species